GGACGUAGAAUUCGGAGAUACAUGUGAUUCCAGGCGAUCCAGUGUCGUUCAUUGCAGCGCACUCGAGGUCGAAGCACAACGAGGCAAACGGGUAUGUUUUUGUACAUUGCAGGGUGACGGGCACCAACGGGACAGCGUACCUGGCCAGGUCCUGGUUCCCCUACGGUCGGGUCAUCUUUGCCUACUCUCAAUUGAGCGACGCUGUAAAUCCUCAAGGAUGGUCUAAUAAUGGUCAAAACCAUACCGACAGUACUGUAUAUUUUGGAGAAUACCACAAUGAGGGGCCAGGUUCCGAUCUUAGCAAGAGGGCGGCAUAUGGUAAGCAGCUGAGUGAUGCAGAGGUUAAGUCGUUCAU